UCCCGGCGGGCGUGGCGUGGUCCCGCCAUCCCCGCGCUGCAUCCCCGGCCCGGCCCGGCCCGGAGCCCCUGUCUCUCCCCCGCCAUCGAGUGGCAGAGCCGCCCCGGCCCCGGCCGCGCUGCGCCCACCCAGGUCGGCGACCUCGCAGGGAGCCCCACGCGGCGCCCCGGCCCAGCCCGCGAGGCCGCCUGCCUGCCCGCGGCGCGGCCGGGAGAGGACAAUCCGCAUGGCAGGAGCGGACAGGGGCUGCUCGGGAGCCGGCGAAACUCGCAGCAGGGGCGGCUGGGCUGUCACACCCCCACCCCGCGCACGGCCCGGGGAGCGCGCUGCCCACAGGCGGGCUCCCGCCCACCUGCUCGGCGGCGUCGAGGGGAGGCCGAAGCACGUUCCCCGCUUUCCGGCCGUAGUGACCGCGGGGAGGGCGGAGGGAGGCCUCUUUGUCAACCCCCGCGGAGCAGCCCGUCGCCUCCUGCGCCUCCCCGGCUCUGCCAGCCACAAGGCGCCCGGAAUCCCGGCGCGGGAGCCUUGCCUCUCUCCAGCCAUCCCAUUACCCCAAACGCCCCUUGGCACUCGCAAGCUCAACUACAAAUACUGCGUGAAAUGCACAAAGACUGCUAAUGCCGAAGUACCAAGCAUUUGUAUAUAGGGGACAGCUCAAAUUAAGAUUCACAGACAUUAGGGGAGCCUUCGGCCACUGCAAUAACUCUAUAAAACGCUGUAUAACGAAUGGUUAUAGGACAGGUAAUGAAGCAUUAAGGUUUACCUUUAAGGAGGAAAACUGACAACAGAAUACAUCACAUCUGAGCAAGGUGGCAUUGUGAGGAAACCUUAGCUUCUGAGAUUUCCUAACUCAAGUCCUUGAUUUUGUGACCUAACGUUACCGCAAUGAAAGAUGCCAAACUUUACUCUCUCUCAUUGCACCAUUAAAGUGAGGUGGCUCUAACUGAUGGGUUCUUGAAUAAACAUGUCUCUUACUGAGCGUAUCCUCUAGUCUACACUAACAUGCUUAUACUGCACCUUCUCUCCAAAGCAUUAACUAUAUAGGCUUAUCAAAUGUAAACAUGAUGAUUGAAGCACAAAUACAGAGAGGACACACUUCCUUUUAACUGAACAUUGGAGUGAUUUGUUCACAAUUUCUCCAAAUGAAACGGGGUUUUUCAGCUGCAUGCUAGCUCUGAAGAAAGGUUAGUUGUACCGACAGUGGAACUCAGCUUUAAGUAUCUUACAGUAGUUGCUAAUGAUACUAUAGAGAGCAAUGCAUCACUUCUCUCAGCAGUCAAAUGUGUCUUUCCACUCCAUUGUUUUUCCCCUGAACUCAAAGAGGAGGUCAAGUUACUUUUCUCUUUCACGGAUGCAGGAGAGCUGAAAAAAAAUGAAGACUAGGCUGCAACUUGUGAAGAUAGCCAGAGGCUUGGUGAUGCAAGAAUGAACUUCUUGAAACAGGCAUGGGAGAACUCAACACUGGAAUGCUGUGGGGAAGUAUGAAGAAUGGAUGGGUUAUAAAGAGUCAACCCCUGCUGCUCUCAUCAUUUGUAUGAAGACCUGCCUCCUGGCACCUCAACGCCCAGUGUACUAAUAAAAUGCUGCCACACUGUUGCAUAAAACACAAUCUCUUCCUUUUUUUGAAGAAUCCGAUACAGGAAAAUAGGCCCCUUUUCAUUUGCAGUCCUGUUGCUGUGCUUCAGUUUCUGUGAGAAAGGUCACAGAUCCUCCCUCAGUGGUUCACUGGCACAAACUCUUUCUGUAAGCAGCCUUGUGACUUGGCUUCAAUGACUUUUCAGUUCCUUUGAGGGUGGCCAAUUUUACUUGAUAGCCAGGAGGGAGCGACUGUCCUGGAGCUUCCCUGCCCCGGCGGUGUGCACCUCCCCAUGCUGAAGGGACACACUCUCCUUGCUGCCCAGACAGCAACCUAAGAAAAUGGACUCUGCCCUCUUGGCCUACUGUGAUGCACACAGCAGUUUCUCCUAUCUACUGCAGCAGCUGCCAAGACUGUAUAGUAAACAUAUCCAUUGAUAGCAUGUGUCUUACAUAUUUUUAAGGGAUGUUGUGGAAUAACAGAUUAUUUUUGUUAUCACAUCACCAUCAUUCCCCUCCACUGAGUCCUACCACACUAACCCCUUUCCUCUUCUGAUAAAAGGGGGGGGGGGACAAACAAAAAACAUUAAUUACUUCAGAGUCUCAGCACUCAAUCAAUAAGAGGACACCAUGGGCAAAGUUCCACUGGGACUGAGCUGGACCAUGCAGCCUAUUCUGGAAAAAAAUAAAAUGAUGCUCCCCAAAAACUGUCAGCCUGAAGUAACAACUCAGGUCAGUAUAAGGUCAUUGUCAUUGAUGGACAGGUAUCUACAAAGCACUUUUUCAGUGUCUUUUCCCAUUCCCUGAGAACCUAACUAGACAGGAUUGCAUUCUGUAACCAAAAAGGGAUGCUACUCUCCCUGGAGAACUGAAGUGAGACACCCAUAGUACAGGCUCGAAAAGUUGAGUUUAUCAAGCAAUGUUGGUUCUUUCAUGAAUAAAAAGGUUAUAUGUUUUAGGGUUUGGGGUUUUUUUGCUUGUUUCUGUUUUUGUUCUGCUUUUAUUUUUACAGAGACUAGGGAAGGAAUCCAUUUCCCUCCUGUCUGAAUGGACAUCAACAAGGUCAGCCUCCCUGAUUUUCAUCCACUCCUAUGCCUGUGCCAUCUACCUCAGAACUUCUCUAGCAACUGUGGCAUGUUUGUAAGCCAUUUCUUUACCAACAUUGCCAGGAAGCAGGAAGAUGUUUGAAGGCAAGCAUGUGCCAACUGGGACAACCCAAUCACAGCAUAACAAUCUCUGCUAAUAGCAAGAGGAAACCAACAAAUGCAUGUGCCUGUGUACUGUAAAGAAUCUGGAAUGCAGGAUCAGCCAUUAUUGACAUCACAGCAGUGCCAAGGGUGGGAGAUAAGGAGGAAGCAUUUCAACCAUUUGGAGACACUGAUCCACUUUCUAAACUUGUAUGCAAGCUCCGUUGUUUCCUUUGGCAGUUUAUGUAGAUAUGAACUUUAAGUCAGAUCUCAGCAGCGUUCUGUUCAUUCACCUACAUGCCACUUCAAUGACAAAGCACAACUGUUUUCAGCAACCAGGGCUUGCCAAAUCAUAAUGAAGGCCUCUGUUAUGGCUAUAUAAUGUUAUAGUCUACCCCAGAGUUUACAGCAAUAAUUUUACCUCCAGGACUACCUAAAAAGGGGGCACAGUAGGGUUGCUCAGUGAUAGUAUUUUCCAGACAAAAAUAUGCCCCAAAUCAAUGGCCUGAUGUUACUUCAGUGAACGCAGGUGCAGACAGUUAGAUAUCAUGAACCAGGAAGCCAUGACAUUUUUUGGCUAAAUUAUGAUGACAUCAGAAGCCAGGUUUUACAUAGGUUCUCAAAGAAACAUGUGCUGUCUGCGACUAUAGAAAAUAAGCUAGAGGGGUGGCUGCCUGAAUGUUUUGCUAUCAUUUUUUAAAUAAAAGGACCAAGAAACAA